CCGAGUUUCUGAUGCCGCGUGUCGGGAGA
rnacentral:piRNA from 1 species